rnacentral:rRNA from 1 species
GUGGGGAAUCUUGCGCAAUGGGCGAAAGCCUGACGCAGCCAUGCCGCGUGAAUGAUGAAGGUCUUAGGAUUGUAAAAUUCUUUCACCGGGGACGAUAAUGACGGUACCCGGAGAAGAAGCUCCGGCUAACUUCGUGCCAGCAGCCGCGGUAAUACGAAGGGGGCUAGCGUUGCUCGGAAUUACUGGGCGUAAAGGGCGCGUAGGCGGACAGCUUAGUCAGAGGUGAAAGCCCAGGGCUCAACCUUGGAAUUGCCUUUGAUCCUGGCUGUCUUGAGUUUAGGAGAGGUGAGUGGAACUCCGAGUGUAGAGGUGAAAUUCGUAGAUAUUCGGAAGAACACCAGUGGCGAAGGCGACUCACUGGCCCAAUACUGACGCUGAGGCGCGAAAGCGUGGGGAGCAAACAGGAUUAGAAACCCGGGUAGUCC